rnacentral:rRNA from 1 species
GUCGCUACUACCGAUUGAAUGGCUUAGUGAGGCCUUGGGAUUAGCGUCCUAUCCGGCAACGGAACUGGAUGUUGAGAACCUGGUCAAACUUGGUCAUUUAGAGGAAGUAA